rnacentral:rRNA from 1 species
UAUUUUGACUGUACAAAGGUAGCAUAAUCAUUAGUCUCUUAAUUGGUGACUUGUAUGAAGGAUUGGAUGAGAUAUAUACUGUCUCUAAUUAAGUUAUAAAAUUUAAUUUUUUAGUAAAAAAGCUAAAAUAAUUUUGAAAGACGAGAAGACCCUAUAGAAUUUUAUAAUUUAUUUUAUUAUUAUUAUUAUAUAAAUUUUUAAAUUAAAAUAAAAUAAAUUAUUUUGUUGGGGUGACAAAAAAAUUAAAUUAACUUUUUUUAAUAUUAAACAUUAAUUUAUGAUUAUAGGAUCCAUUAAUAAUGAUUAAAAGAAAUAAUUACCUUAGGGAUAACAGCGUAAUUUUUUUUUUUAGUUCAAAUAGGAAAAAAAGUUUGCGACCUCG